AUCAAAGAGUGGCACACGUUGCUGCGCGCACGUCCUUUGGUCCCUGCCUGGGAAUUCAAUUGCAUUCGGCUAGCGCAAGGUGUGUGAAGUUUCUCUGCGCUUAAUUAAUACAGACAAGGACAGCUCAGGAGUCCAUGACGCCAUUUCUGAAUAUAGUGAAGCCAGCCGUUUACAAGUAAUUGGGACGAGUUACCAACCAUCGGGGGAUUGGAGUGGCAGCCGUCGCUCAUGCAGAGUCGAAGACACGGCAACCUUGUGGACUUGUCCUGCGUCGAGGUGGGCGACAUUUCCACCGAAGCCAGGCACGUCAACAAACACCGUGUAGGAACAUCUGCACCACCACGAGUCUGCAAGGUACUCCUUGGGAGAAGAGAUCAUUUGGGAAAGCGUGGAUACAAGUGGUGUCUUAUAAGGUGA
rnacentral:lncRNA from 1 species